GCGCGAAAACUUUACAAUGCUGGCAACAGCGAUAAGGGAACCUCGAGUGCCAGGUUACAAAUCUGGCUGUCGAGAUGCCUAAAAACGCAUUUCAUAGCAAGGGCCGGGCAAGACCGGUGCCAGCCGCCGCGGUAACACCGGCGGCUCGAGUGGUAACCGUUAUUAUUGGGUCUAAAGGGUCUGUAGCCGGCCGGAUAAGUCUCUUGAGAAAUCUGGCAGCUUAACUGUCAGGCUUUUCAGGAGAUACUGUCUGGCUCGAGGCCGGGAGAGGUGAGAGGUACUUCAGGGGUAGGGGUGAAAUCUUGUAAUCCUUGAAGGACCACCAGUGGCGAAGGCGUCUCACCAGAACGGACCUGACGGCAAGGGACGAAAGCUAGGGGCACGAACCGGAUUAGAAACCCC
rnacentral:rRNA from 1 species